AUAAGACAUGGUAUAUAUGAUACUAAUCAGACGUAGCUUCUUUCCCUCCUGCUUCAUCAGGGGCUGGAAUCUCCUCGUUUUUAGUUUCUCCAUUUUCUGCAGCUUUCUCUUCACUCUGGAAAAAGACCCUGAGGGCAAAGCACCCCCAGAUGGGAACCGAAAGUACUCCCUCAGGCAAUAAGGAGUUUCCUGAGCCAGCAAGACCCCAAGUCAUUGACUUCAAGACAAAGACCCACCAGACCUUCACUGCCCACCUGCACGUACCACUGACCUUUGCCCUGGAAAUAUUUUUGGCACUUCGGUGACAGCCUUUGAGCCAUUAGUCUGUGGUCUUCCGGGUGUCGGCCUCAUGGAAAUAAAUUCCUCUCUUACUUCA